rnacentral:rRNA from 1 species
GAUGUACGCUAGCGGCAGGCUUAAUACAUGCAAGUCGAGGGGCAGCAUGACUGUAGCAAUACAGUUGAUGGCGACCGGCAAACGGGUGCGGAACACGUACAGAACCUUCCUUUAAGUGGUGAAUAGCCCAGAGAAAUUUGGAUUAAUACACCGUAACAUAUAGAGUUGGCAUCAAUUUUAUAUUAUAGCUCCGGCGCUUAAAGAUGGCUGUGCGGCUGAUUAGGUAGUUGGCGGGGUAACGGCCCACCAAGCCUACGAUCAGUAACUGGUGUGAGAGAACGACCAGUCACACGGGCACUGAGACACGGGCCCGACUCCUACGGGAGGCAGCAGUAAGGAAUAUUGGUCAAUGGACGCAAGUCUGAACCAGCCAUGCCGCGUGGAGGAUGAAGGUCCUCUGGAUUGUAAACUUCUUUUCUCUGGGGCGAAAACCUCCCAUUCUUGGGAGCUUGACAGUACCAGAGGAAUAAGCACCGGCUAACUCCGUGCCAGCCGCCGCGGUAAGAC